CAAAUUCAAAUUUUGUUUAAUUGUUUAUUGUACUUAUCCCAAUAAAAAAAAUUUGAUUUAUUUUUCAUAAAUUAUAACUGUACAUGCCAUAUUUUGCUCGGGUUUUAAAAAACCCACAUUACAGAUAGGCCUAUAUGGCCCAAAUAAUAAAACAAACAAGGGCCCAAAGUUACGGUGGCCCAAACUACAGGCAGAAACCCUAGUGUUUCAACAGCGCCGCAAGCCUCCGAAUCUUCCCCGAUCUUCACCUGUAAAGAAACAAAACAACAAAGGAAAAAAAUCAAAGAUUUGUAAUCAAACAAUAUUUGUUUCUUGAUUUAUUUUAUUCAUUCGGCUAUAAAAAAGCCAUAAACACACUGUAACGAGGGUCUCGAUUCAAAAAUCAAUAAAAAAAAGCACAAUUUUUACAACACAAACAGAAACAAACGAAAUCUAAGGUUGUUUUCUAUUCUAUUUUAUCAUUUAUUUAUUUUCUUUAUAUAUACUAUUAUAAAUCAAAAUAGAGGAGAGAAACAACCUUUUCUCUUUGGAAACGCCGUACGACGGCCGAGGGAGCCACCCCCGAGGAUCGGUGGCCAGAAACCGAAAGGUUUCGUGUUGUUUGAAAUUUCCUUGCUGGCGUUUUGAAGGAUUUAAGCCCGGAUUUGGGCAUAAGGGUGUCGAGAAGGCCAAAAGGGAAAUUUUCCUUUUUUCCGGCCACCGCAGAUGGUGGUGCCGGCGCCGAAUAUUGGCGGUCGGCGCGAUGGCCGAUGACCGACCAAUGGCCGGAAAAUCAAGAGGCAGAGAGUGUUUUUUGAGGGUUUGGUUUUUUUUUUUUUAA
rnacentral:lncRNA from 1 species